rnacentral:rRNA from 1 species
ACGAACGCUGGCGGCGUGGAUAAGACAUGCAAGUCGAACGAGAGAAUUGCUAGCUUGCUAAUAAUUCUCUAGUGGCGCACGGGUGAGUAACACGUGAGUAACCUGCCCCCGAGAGCGGGAUAGCCCUGGGAAACUGGGAUUAAUACCGCAUAGUAUCGAAAGAUUAAAGCAGCAAUGCGCUUGGGGAUGGGCUCGCGGCCUAUUAGUUAGUUGGUGAGGUAACGGCUCACCAAGGCGAUGACGGGUAGCCGGUCUGAGAGGAUGUCCGGCCACACUGGAACUGAGACACGGUCCAGAAACCUAAGGGUGGAAGCAGUCGUGAAUCUUUCACAAUGGGGGAAACCCUGAUGGUGCGACGCCGCGUGGGGGAAUGAAGGUCUUCGGAUUGUAAACCCCUGUCAUGUGGGAGCAAAUUAAAAAGAUAGUACCACAAGAGGAAGAGACGGCUAACUCUGUGCCAGCAGCCGCGGUAAUACAGAGGUCUCAAGCGUUGUUCGGAAUCACUGGGCGUAAAGCGUGCGUAGGCUGUGUCGUAAGUCGUGUGUGAAAGGCGCGGGCUCAACCCGCGGACGGCACAUGAUACUGCGAGACUAGAGUAAUGGAGGGGGAACCGGAAUUCUCGGUGUAGCAGUGAAAUGCGUAGAUAUCGAGAGGAACACUCGUGGCGAAGGCGGGUUCCUGGACAUUAACUGACGCUGAGGCACGAAGGCCAGGGGAGCGAAAGGGAUUAGAUACCCCUGUAGUCCUGGCAGUAAACGGUGCACGCUUGGUGUGCGGGGAAUCGACCCCCUGCGUGCCGGAGCUAACGCGUUAAGCGUGCCGCCUGGGGAGUACGGUCGCAAGAUUAAAACUCAAAGAAAUUGACGGGGACCCGCACAAGCGGUGGAGUAUGUGGCUUAAUUCGAUGCAACGCGAAGAACCUUACCUGGGCUUGACAUGUAAUGAACAACAUGUGAAAGCAUGCGACUCUUCGGAGGCGUUACACAGGUGCUGCAUGGCCGUCGUCAGCUCGUGUCGUGAGAUGUUUGGUUAAGUCCAGCAACGAGCGCAACCCCUGUUGCCAGUUACCAGCACGUGAAGGUGGGGACUCUGGCGAGACUGCCCAGAUCAACUGGGAGGAAGGUGGGGACGACGUCAGGUCAGUAUGGCCCUUAUGCCCAGGGCUGCACACGUACUACAAUGCCCAGUACAGAGGGGGCCGAAGCCGCGAGGCGGAGGAAAUCCUGAAAACUGGGCCCAGUUCGGACUGUAGGCUGCAACCCGCCUACACGAAGCCGGAAUCGCUAGUAAUGGCGCAUCAGCUACGGCGCCGUGAAUACGUUCCCGGGUCUUGUACACACCGCCCGUCACAUCAUGGAAGCCGGUCGCACCCGAAGUAUCUGAAGCCAACCGCAAGGAGGCAGGGUCCUAAGGUGAGACUGGUAACUGGGAUG